CAGACAAUGUUCACGGCAUCAUUGGUUUUGGAGGUGGAAGGGGGAUUUAGACCUCUUCCUGGCAUCUUAUUUUGAAGAGGACAAAACUAAGUCCCUAACAGGAUAAAUGACUUGCCCAAGGUCAUACAGAGGCAUCUUGACUAUGAUUUGUGAAUGUCCAAGGAUUCUCAAGUAAGGAGCAUGUGGCUUACAUGUGGUCUGAGAUGCUAAGGUUCACCAUGAGUUACUACUCCCUCCCUCUUUAGUCCCUGAAUUUGUUGAAUUAUGGCUCAGGGGUUCUUCAUUUUUUUGGUGUGUCAUGGACACCUAUGGCAGU